CUAAACGAAAAAAAUUUAUACUGCAAAAGGUUUACUUUUUAUUUUUCACGGAAGGAUAUUUGAAAGCUGUGUCUGGCUAUAAUAUUUAUCAUUUAAACUCCCAAUUUCUAUUAUGUAAUCGAAGUCUUGAAUGUUGUUCUAUCUAAUCAACGUGGUUGUAAAAUCAGAGUGUUGCAUCUAAUUAUGAUCAAUUAUCAGUCCAGUGAGUUUUAAACACCUGUAGAGUUUUAUCACUUGUCACUUCAUAUUAUAAGAUAAUAAAAAAAUUCACACAUAGCAGGAUGCAUUGCGGCUGAAAUUUUAUGCGCAGCGGUACUGCAAUGCAUGAAUAGGCUAUGGAAAACACUGAUUCUAGCUGCUUAAAGCGAAUAAUUAUUUCACUAUUUCAUGUUCAUUAAUGAUGUAACCAAAAAAAUCAUACUUUAGAUUUUUAAUGUAUCUCAUAGCUAGUGCCCCUUAAAUUAAACAAAAUCAAUGUUGCUCAAGAAAGAAAUGUAGGUCGCAGUGUCCUUAAUAUUGAAGACUUCUGGAUCUAAUCAACG
rnacentral:lncRNA from 1 species